rnacentral:rRNA from 1 species
CAGCAGCCGCGGGAAUACGGAGGGGGCUAGCGUUGUUCGGAAUUACUGGGCGUAAAGCGCACGUAGGCGGCUUUGUAAGUCAGGGGUGAAAUCCCGGGGCUCAACCCCGGAACUGCCUUUGAUACUGGGAGUCUUGAGUUCGAGAGAGGUGAGUGGAAUUGCGAGUGUAGAGGUGAAAUUCGUAGAUAUUCGCAGGAACACCAGUGGCGAAGGCGGCUCACUGGCUCGAUACUGACGCUGAGGUGCGAAAGCGUGGGAAGCAAACAGGAUUAGAUACCCCGGUAGUCCCUGUCUCUUAUAC